AUGGUGAUGUGUGGGGCUGAGGUAUGGGGCGGGAGGGGGCACAGCGCCACAGGGACAGUGUGUAGGGCUGUAUGGGGCAGGGGAGGGGCACAGCAGAACUACAGCAGUGUGUGGGGCUGGGAUAUAGGGCAGGAGAAAGGCAAAGCAAUACUACAACAGAGUUUGGGGCUGAGGUAUGGGGCAGGAGAGGGGCAGAGCAGUGCUACAACAGUGCGUGGGGCUGGGAUAUGGGGCAGGGGAGGGGCAGAGCAGUGCUACAACAGUGCGUGGGGCUGGGAUAUGGGGCAGGGGAGGGGCAGAGCAGUGCUACAACAGUGCGUGGGGCUGGGAUAUGGGGCAGGGGAGGGGCAGAGCAGUGCUACAACAGUGCGUGGGGCUGGGAUAUGGGGCAGGGGAGGGGCAGAGCAGUGCUACAACAGUGCGUGGGGCUGGGAUAUGGGGCAGGGGAGGGGCAGAGCAGUGCUACAACAGUGCGUGGGGCUGGGAUAUGGGGCAGGGGAGGGGCAGAGCAGUGCUACAACAGUGCGUGGGGCUGGGAUAUGGGGCAGGGGAGGGGCAGAGCAGUGCUACAACAGUGCGUGGGGCUGGGAUAUGGGGCAGGGGAGGGGCAGAGCAGUGCUACAACAGUGCGUGGGGCUGGGAUAUGGGGCAGGGGAGGGGCAGAGCAGUGCUACAACAGUGCGUGGGGCUGGGAUAUGGGGCAGGGGAGGGGCAGAGCAGUGCUACAACAGUGCGUGGGGCUGGGAUAUGGGGCAGGGGAGGGGCAGAGCAGUGCUACAACAGUGCGUGGGGCUGGGAUAUGGGGCAGGGGAGGGGCAGAGCAGUGCUACAACAGUGCGUGGGGCUGGGAUAUGGGGCAGGGGAGGGGCAGAGCAGUGCUACAACAGUGCGUGGGGCUGGGAUAUGGGGCAGGGGAGGGGCAGAGCAGUGCUACAACAGUGCGUGGGGCUGGGAUAUGGGGCAGGGGAGGGGCAGAGCAGUGCUACAACAGUGCGUGGGGCUGGGAUAUGGGGCAGGGGAGGGGCAGAGCAGUGCUACAACAGUGCGUGGGGCUGGGAUAUGGGGCAGGGGAGGGGCAGAGCAGUGCUACAACAGUGCGUGGGGCUGGGAUAUGGGGCAGGGGAGGGGCAGAGCAGUGCUACAACAGUGCGUGGGGCUGGGAUAUGGGGCAGGGGAGGGGCAGAGCAGUGCUACAACAGUGCGUGGGGCUGGGAUAUGGGGCAGGGGAGGGGCAGAGCAGUGCUACAACAGUGCGUGGGGCUGGGAUAUGGGGCAGGGGAGGGGCAGAGCAGUGCUACAACAGUGCGUGGGGCUGGGAUAUGGGGCAGGGGAGGGGCAGAGCAGUGCUACAACAGUGCGUGGGGCUGGGAUAUGGGGCAGGGGAGGGGCAGAGCAGUGCUACAACAGUGCGUGGGGCUGGGAUAUGGGGCAGGGGAGGGGCAGAGCAGUGCUACAACAGUGCGUGGGGCUGGGAUAUGGGGCAGGGGAGGGGCAGAGCAGUGCUACAACAGUGCGUGGGGCUGGGAUAUGGGGCAGGGGAGGGGCAGAGCAGUGCUACAACAGUGCGUGGGGCUGGGAUAUGGGGCAGGGGAGGGGCAGAGCAGUGCUACAACAGUGCGUGGGGCUGGGAUAUGGGGCAGGGGAGGGGCAGAGCAGUGCUACAACAGUGCGUGGGGCUGGGAUAUGGGGCAGGGGAGGGGCAGAGCAGUGCUACAACAGUGCGUGGGGCUGGGAUAUGGGGCAGGGGAGGGGCAGAGCAGUGCUACAACAGUGCGUGGGGCUGGGAUAUGGGGCAGGGGAGGGGCACAGCAAUACUACAGCAGUGCGUGGGGCUGGGAUGUGGGGCCGGGGAGGGGCGCAGUGAUACUACAACAACAUGUGAGGUGGGAUAUGGGGCGCAGUGGCGCUGUGAUGGUGUGUGGGGCUGAGAGGUGGGCUGUGAGAGGGGCACAGGGGGGCAGUUGGCUCCGUGUGGGGCUGCAGAGGGGACACAGCCCCCGUCCUCCCUCUGUGCUGCGUGACACCGGUGCUGCUGCUCUCUGCCCCCCUUUCCCCUCCCCGUUUUUUUGGGGUCCCACAUUUGCCACAACCGCGGCGCAGCGGUGGAGGGUUGGAUCCUUUUUGUCACCGGCGUUCACGAGGAGGCGACGGAGGAGGACAUCCACGACAAAUUCGCUGAAUACGGCGAGAUCAAAAACAUCCACCUGA
rnacentral:lncRNA from 1 species